rnacentral:rRNA from 2 species
GAUGAACGCUGGCGGUAUGCUUAACACAUGCAAGUCGAACGGUCUCUUCGGAGAUAGUGGCGGACGGGUGAGUAACGCGUGAGAAUCUGGCUCUAGGUCUGGGACAACCACUGGAAACGGUGGCUAAUACCGGGUGUGCCGAAAGGUGAAAGGUUAACUGCCUGGAGAUGAGCUCGCGUCUGAUUAGCUAGUUGGUAAGGUAAGAGCUUACCAAGGCGACGAUCAGUAGCUGGUCUGAGAGGACGAUCAGCCACACUGGGACUGAGACAC